rnacentral:rRNA from 1 species
AGUCGAGCGAUGAAGCACCUUCGGGUGUGAAUUAGCGGCGAACGGGUGAGGAACACGUGAGAAAUCUGCCUUCAACACUGGGAUAACUCCGGGAAACCGGGGCUAAUACCGGAUAUGAAACCUGCGGGCAUCCGCGGGUUUGGAAAGUUUUUCGGUUGAAGAUGAUCUCGCGGCCUAUCAGCUUGUUGGUGAGGUAAUGGCUCACCAAGGCGACGACGGGUAGCCGGCCUGAGAGGGCGACCGGCCACACUGGGACUGAGACACGGCCCAGACUCCUACGGGAGGCAGCAGUGGGGAAUAUUGGGCAAUGGAGGAAACUCUGACCCAGCGACGCCGCGUGCGGGAUGAAGGCCUUCGGGUUGUAAACCGCUUUCAGCAGGGAAGAAGCGAAAGUGACGGUACCUGCAGAAGAAGCACCGGCUAACUAUGUGCCAGCAGCCGCGGUAAUACAUAGGGUGCAAGCGUUGUCCGGAAUUAUUGGGCGUAAAGAGCUCGUAGGUGGUUCGUCACGUCGGAUGUGAAACUCUGGGGCUUAACCCCAGACCUGCAUUCGAUACGGGCGAGCUUGAGUAUGGUAGGGGAGUCUGGAAUUCCUGGUGUAGCGGUGGAAUGCGCAGAUAUCAGGAGGAACACCAAUGGCGAAGGCAGGACUCUGGGCCAUUACUGACACUGAGGAGCGAAAGCGUGGGGAGCGAACAGGAUUAGAUACCCUGGUAGUCCACGCCGUAAACGGUGGGCACUAGUUGUGGGGACCUUCCACGGUCUCUGCGACGCAGCUAACGCAUUAAGUGCCCCGCCUGGGGAGUACGAUCGCAAGAUUAAAACUCAAAGGAAUUGACGG